rnacentral:rRNA from 1 species
AUUGAACGCUGGCGGCAUGCUUUACACAUGCCAGUCGAACGGCAGCGCGGGCUUCGGCCUGGCGGCGAGUGGCGAGCGGGUGAGUAAUACAUCGGAACGUGCCCAGUAGUGGGGGUAGGUCGGCCGAAGCCGGAUUAAUACCGCAUACCACCUGAGGGUGGAAGCCGGGGGUCUUUGGACCUCGCGCUUUUUGAGCGGCCGAUGGCAGAUUAGCUAGUUGGCGGGGUAAAGGCCUACCAAGGCGACGAUCUGUAGCUGGUCUGAGAGGACGACCAGCCACACUGGGACUGAGACACGGCCCAGACUCCUACGGGAGGCAGCAGUGGGGAAUUUUGGACAAUGGGCGAAAGCCUGAUCCAGCAAUGCCGCGUGUGUGAUGAAGGCCUUCGGGUUGUAAAGCACUUUUGGCGGGAACGAAAAGGACUGUGCCAAUACCACGGUUCGAUGACGGUACCCGCAGAAUAAGCACCGGCUAACUACGUG